GACAGAGGGGGCAAGCGUUGCUCGGAAUUACUGGGCGUAAAGGGCGCGUAGGCGGGAUGGCAAGUCGGUCGUGAAAUCCCUCGGCUCAACCGAGGAACGUCGAUCGAUACUGCUGUUCUUGAGGAUUGCAGAGGAGACUGGAAUUCCCGGUGUAGCGGUGAAAUGCGUAGAUAUCUGGAGGAACACCGGUGGCGAAGGCGGCAUCCUGGACCAAUAUUGACGCUGAGGAGCGAAAGCCAGGGGAGCAAACGGG
rnacentral:rRNA from 1 species